GACGAACCGAGCGAACGUUAUUCGGAAUCACUGGGCGUAAAGAGCUCGUAGGCGGUCUGUCGCGUCGGCUGUGAAAACCCGAGGCUCAACCUCGGGCCUGCAGUCGAUACGGGCAGACUAGAGUGCUGUAGGGGAGACUGGAAUUCCUGGUGUAGCGGUGAAAUGCGCAGAUAUCAGGAGGAACACCGGUGGCGAAGGCGGGUCUCUGGGCCGUUACUGACGCUGAGGAGCGAAAGCGUGGGGAGCGAACAGG
rnacentral:rRNA from 1 species